CUUUCCAGACCGGGGCACGAACCCGUGUCCCCUGCAUCGGCAGGCGGACUCUCAACCACUGCGCCACCAGGGAAGCCCUACAGUUUCAUUUUAACCGUCAUAGAAUUAUAGAAAACUCCUAAGUCAUCUCAGUUUAUGUCAUGUGCAAACAACUGUGUCAACCAAAUAUUCCAUGAACGUUUAUAAGAGGAUUCAUUAGUCUCCUAUGGCUGCUAUAACACAUUGCCACCCACUUGGUGGCUUAAAACAACACCUCAUCACCUCUCUUUCUCUUCUAGUCAAAACUCCCUCAGCCUCUCUCGUUUAAGGACACUUAGGAUUAUGCUUAAGGCCCCUCUGGAUAAUCCAGGAUAAUUUAUCCAUCUCAAGAUCCUUAAUCUCAUCUGCAAAGUUCCUUUGGUCAUAUAAAGGCUCAUUCACAGGUUCCAGGAUGCAGAUAUCUUUGGGGCCAUUAUUCAGCCUACCAUAGAUGCCCAAAUAGACUUAUUUACCUUUCUGAGAGUAAGAUAUCCAUUUUCAUGCUCAGUGGACAAACCAAAACCACAAAAUGUCAACUGACGUUAAAUCUACACACCCAAAAGAUAAAGUCAAUAACGUGUUUCCUCUUUUUAGUAAAACAGGCAGUCUGAAUGCAGUUAAGCACCAUCACAGUUGAAUUAUGUAAGGAGCCAUUUUUUUCUUCAGUACCAUUCCAAAGAAAAUUACAAUAUGACCGUGUGACCACAAUUCUCUACUUUUAACAUAAAUUUUGGAAUUAUCCGAGCCAUUAUGAAACUUCAAACUUUCCUUCUGAAAAAAAAAAAAAGUCUCUUGACCUUUUGGUUAUUUCUUAGAAAAGUAUGGUGGUUUUAGACAUGUCCAUAAAUUUUAACGUUCCUCCCAGUAAGAGAAAACUUUUCUUCCUUUUUCUCUCCUAGAACCUCGGUGGACCUUUGUGACUACAUCAACUAAUGAAAUACAGCAGAAGUGACAUUCCAUGACCUCCAAGGCUAGGCUACAAGGGCAGAGUUGAGUAGUACUGAGAGAUGUCUGCAGUGCUGAAUGUAUUUACUAUCUAGUGCUUCAUGGAAAAAGUUUGUCUGCUCCUGAUCUAAACCAUGCCCAGUUCUCCUUUGAAUUCUACCGCAUAAAACCAAUCAAACCAACAAUGCUUAUUAAGAUCCUGUAUGGGCAAACUGGGAGAACAAAAAAACCCAAAAAAACAAGUCAGCCUGUCUGGAAAAAUCAAAUCAGCCAACUCUACCCAUUCCUGUGUAAUUCUAGAAGUGACACCAAAUCUGAUCUUCAGAUCAAACUUACAAGAAACUUUAUACAGACACAUUCAAGAGGGGCAUGUUAAUAAAAGUCAUGAAAGAGGUAUUGGUAAUAUGGCGCUGCAACAUUUUAAAAUUAUCUCCUAUUUUGUCACAAGGACCAUGGAGACUGAGCAGAAUGUGGUAACCCAGAGCUCGCAACACUCUUCUCGUUGGGCUGGGGAGAUAGAAAUGAAGUUCAGAGCCUCCGAGACAACCAGGACUUGAAGGAUCGAGAUCCCAGAAAAAGAGGGGACUGCAGAAAAGGAAGCCCGCCCUUCUAUAGAUAACCUACCCUCAAUGCAUUUGCUGACCCCGAACCAGUGCAAGUCUUGUGAGAGGCUUUGAGAAACCAUGCGGAAAGCAGCUUCCAAAAGGCUAAAGCUUUAAGCAAAGGACACAGUGAUUGGAUGGUUCCAGGAAGACUGAAUUUUGAGUUUACCAGGGAGGAAUGGCUCAGGCCCAGGAGGAAUGAGAGCCUGAAGGAGCUGUGCUCCAAAAGUAAGGGCAGAUCAAAAAUAAAAUAGCUUAACCAGAUAUAACUGCCUACCAGAAUGAAAUUAAAUCUCCUAAAAAAAUAAUAUCUGGUAAUUCCACUUGAUAGCUCUCUGCACCUGUUUAUGACCAGAGCGAUAAACUGGUUACAGGGAACCCGGAAUGAUUCACUACUUUCCCUUCUCCUCCCUUAUCUUUUGGUUUCACUGAAAAAAUGCUGGCUAACUGCUUUGGAGAUGUAAGGUUGCUUUUAUUUAUUUAUUUAUUUAUUUAUUUAUUUAUUUAUUUAUUCAUUCAUUCAUUCAUUCAUUCAGAGGACAUGAUUUGCUUGUCCUGCCAUGAGUUAAGCAGCCUCUGUGGAUUGUUAGAAAAAAGGUUUUCUUUCUUCCUUUUUAUCUCCUGUGGGCCAUGGAGAUCCUACAAUUCUGGAAUAGUUGGUGGUUCAUGUUUGACUUGGCUCCGGUUAUAAACUGGAAUUUUUACAAACCAAGAAUUUAUUAUUGCCAUUUAAAAACAAAUUGUAAAACAAGCAAUUGGUUUAGGUAUUUGAUAUGAAAAUAUAGUCCCAUUCCUUUAUUUUAAUGUUGCUAUAGAACUGGGGGCAAAAAUACAUUCUACUUCUCAAUUUUCCAUGCUCCAUACUUGCUCUCUGUCCUUAACACUAAAUGUGCUAACUUCCUUGUUUUUAAAUCACAUUUUUAGUUUCAAAAAACUUAUUUUUGUUACGUUCUACAAAUACCUUCCAUUUAAAUUUUUUAGAAAAAAAUCUAGAGGGAAAAAGCCAUAGAAGCUAAAACUUUUCCUACUUCCAACAAAUAAGAAGAAAAUAAGUCUGCUUGUAGAAGGUGUUUUUGAAAAAAAAAUUAGUUUCUAAUUAUAUCUUGGUAAAUAAACUUUAUUUCUUGAGCAAAAUGGGUUUUUAAGAAAUAUAAUGUGAGAUUCUGGAAAUGGAGGGUGCAGCAAAAAGAGCAUGCACCCUUUCUAUCAUGGUAUUGCCAUCCUAUUGUAUUUCAGGUUGUGGACAGCACAUUAAAAUUAUAUUGUGUGAGUGUGUGUGCAAAAAGUAAGGGUCCAAUUUAAGUUCAUUAGUGGCAUCAAUACAAAUCCUCUGGUCUGAAAUAGAAUCCUGCCCCAUUCUCUGACACACACAGAAAUUAAGAGUAUCCAUGCAUGUCAAAUACAGCUUAAAAUAGCUGGGCGUUUAGAUAAACAUAAAAACUAUGUUCUAUAAAAGUGAACUAAAUCCUGUGGGGCAUGUAGGAAAAAAAAUAACUACUUUUGCUCUAUGCUUUUGCCUUAAGGAUAUUCAUGAAAGAGGUUUUUUUAUUUUGUAUUUAUUUGAAACAUUUCAUAAUUAGUCCCUAAAAGAACUGUUAGACUCACCAUAAGGUAGAGAAAAUAAAUACAUUUUUAAGGUCUGGAUUUCUAUUAUAUUUAGAUUUUAAAAGUUUAAGCAAAGCUUGCUAAUUUCACUCCAUUCUUUUUGUAACAGAACCAGUUCACAAACUUGUGGUGCAUCAGUUUGGGAACAGUUUUAUUUUACCUGUACAGAUUUCAAUUUUAUGGGUCUUUUACUUUUCAAAUGUAUAAUAUAUAGAUAUGCUCUAUCUUUAUACUAACUCAUUCCAUUAUAAUUUUUACUGAGACUCUCAUCUGUUUACCUAAAUCUUUGAUGCUUUAGGCCCCAUUUUUCAAAGCAGAAUUCAUUUUGUUCUUUAAAAGCAUUGAACAAACCAGAAAAUGCAUCAUACCAUAUACUGAGAUGGAAAAUGCUGAAUUUGUGUGCUUUUUUCCCAGUAAAAAAAAUUUAAAAUUUUAUCAAGUGACAUUACAUAUUUUCUACAAUUCAAUUAAGAGUUAAUAGAGAUGCUAAGAAACAAGACCUAUGACUAAAAACAAAGAGAAAAAAGACAAUAUAAACAGACCCACAGGUGAUUCAGGUAUUGAACCCAUACAUUAGUAACCCCUAAAGAGUAUUUUCAAGAAAAUAGGUGAAAAAUCAUCAGAUCCCAAUGACUUCACCAAUGAAUUCUUCCAAUUAUGUAAGGAAUUAAGCUAGCAUAACCUUGACUCUAAAACCUGACAAGUCAUUACAAGAAAGGAAAAUUACAGGCAAGUUUCUCUCAUGAAUAAAGAUAUAUAAAUUUUUAACAAAUACUGUCAAAUUGAAGUAAAUAGUAUAUGAAAAAAGAAUACUAUAUCAUGAUCAAAUUGAGUUCAUUCUGGGAAUGCAAAGUUGGUUUAACAUUUUAAAAUUAAUUUAAUUCACCACAUUAAAAGAAGAAUUUAAAAGCUGAUCAUCUCAAAAGAUUCAGAAAAAGAAUAUGAUAAAAUCCUAUAACCAUUAAUGAUUCUUAAAAAAAACGUCUCGGCAAACUAGGAACAUAAACUUCUUGAAUCUGACAAAGUAUUUAUAAAAAGUAUCUAUGAAAACAUUUAUACGUAAUGUUAUAAUACUGAAAGUUAUCACCUUGACUUUAGACAUAAGUUCAACACUGUGCUGGAGAUCCUAACCAGUGCAAUAAAGAAAAAAAUAGAAAAAGAAAAAGGAUUAGGGAUUGUAGAUGAAGAAAUAAAAUUAUCCACUUUUUAUAGACAACUUGCUUGAAUCAGUGGAUAAUCUAUCAGAAUUUACUUUUAUUUCAUUUUUAUAUACUAGCAACAGUUAGAAGAAAUUCUUAAGAAAUAUACUAUUCAUAAUAACAUCAAAAAUAUCAAUACAUAGGGAUACAAGACCUCUACACAGAAAACUAUAGAACAUUAUUGUGAGAAAUUGAGGAAACCCAAUAGAAUUAGAGAAAUACAUUGUGCUUAAGAAUUGGAAAACUCCACGUUGUAAAGACAUCAUAGUUCCUCUACUGCAGUGCAAGCCCAGUCAAAAUAGCAGUAGGAUUUUUUUAAAAGUAAAACUUGACAAGCUUUUUCUAAAACUUACAUGGAAACACAAAAGGGUCUUAGUUAAGACAUUCUCGACAAAGAAGAGCAUUGUAGGAGGACUUGUUUUACUAAGUCAUUAUAAAGCUAUUUAAGAGAGUGAGUUGCUGAAGCAAGGAUAAAAGAAUAGACCAAUGGAAUAAACAGAGAGCUUAUAAAAAGGCAACAGAUGUAGAGGUACUUGGUUCAUGAGAAAGAACUGGGGGAGAUGGGAAAAGAACAGUAUUUUUAAUAAUAAUGAUAAUGGAAAAAUUGGGUAUCCAUACAGGAAAAAAAAUGCAAAUUGAUUACUAUCUCAUACCAUACACGAAACUAAUUACAGUUAAAGUAUAGAUAUAAAUGUGAAUGACAAAACACUAAUAAUUUAGAGUGCAAGAAAGAUUCAGAUGUCCACUAAAUUUUUCCUCAAAACUGUGACUACUGAAGACCAUACACAAACACCAUCUUCGGGGCGUCUCCAGAUGACUUCAGGGAAAUGAAAAUAUAACUCUUCACCGCCCCCCCCGCAAUAAAUCCUGCAGAAUUCAUCAAAUGCCAUUAGAUAGUGGUAAGAUGGGAAUCCCCAGGUGGUCCAGUGGUUAUGACUCCGUGCUUCCACUGCAGGGGGCCCAGGUUCAAUCCCUGGUUGGGGAACUAAGAUCCCACAAGCUACGUGGUGCGACCAGAAAAUAAAUAAAUUAAUUUAAUUAAAUAGUGAUAAGGCAAGAUUAGAGUUCUGGAAAUUUUAAUCUGGUGUGUUUGAGGGGAGUGGACCUGAAAGCGAGGAAAUUAAGAAGCCCCAGCAAGAUUUGGCGUGUUUGAAACUUUUAAUAAUAUCGUUAGUUUUGAAAUGGAAAGAAAGGGGCAAAUCAAAAAGACACUUCAAGAGGACUUGGCCAUUGGGUUGAUGGUGUUGGCAAAGUGGGGAAAGGUCAUAGUGACUCAGAGGUUUUGAGGCUUAAUCAUAUCAUUAACAAGGGUAGAAAAUCAGACAGGCAAACUGCUUUGGGGAAGAUAAUGACUGAGUUUGAGAUAAUGGCAGGAUAUCCAAACAGAAAUGCUCAAAAGAAUGGUAGAGAUAAGUUACUGGAAAUAAAGGGGCCAGGCCUAGAGUGACAGAGUAGGAUAUCAGUAACGUCUGCGGGUAAAUGACACAUGGCUGGCUACUCACUGUCUGUCCCAAUUCUCUCACAUCUAUUCACUGAGUUACAAUUGUGGUGUCAUCUGCGUACGCUCGGCUGGUUUUGGAGUAGAGGGGAAAGGACAGUGCUGGCAUAGAGACUGACAAUUCUUCAGAGGGCUGCCUAGACUCUGCUCUGCCCAAACUUCUGGAAUCCCCAUCACUCAACAUCAGCUGCUUGGACCAACCAGGGAUGGACCCCUUACCCAUGUGUGACCAAUCGGAAUUCUCUUCCAGAAAACUCGUGCUGCGAAACGGUUUGCUACACGGAUCAAACUGGAAGGUCAAAGAGACAUGGGGCCGAGGCUUUCAUUCUGGAACAGUUAUAGGAAUCCAGUGUUCAAAGAGAAGAGUAAAGUAGGUGAGAGGUGCUGCGAGAAGAUACCACGUAGCCCCAGAGGGACAAAGUCAGCUGCAUCUGGACUCUCCACAAAGAAGCCAGCCUCUACUUUGUGCAAUUGUAAUCCACGAUGUCCACCUUGAAAUUCUGUCUUCCUACUUGUCCCAAAAUGCAAAAAAACAAAAAGCCCUGCAAGAAAUAUAACAUCAUGCCAACUUUACUCAUUGUUAACUUUACUGUUCAUUUAAAAAUACCUUUUAAAACAGUUUGUAAGUUAGAUAUUCUGGUUUCUAACAUUGAGUCAUAAUGCAGAGCCUUUUAAAACAUACAACACCAAUAUUUUCUAAGCAAUGGAAAUUAAACGUAUCAUCUUUAACCUAAAACAAUGUUUUAUAAAUGUCAAAAAUCUCUCUAAAAUUGGAAUAUUAAAAGGGCAGCCUAUGCAAAGUGCAGUUUGAAAUUUAGCUCUGCUAUGGGUCCAGAUAUUCAGAAAAAAAAAAAAUCAAAGCUACUGAUUCACUGACAUUAAGGAAGGAGUCAUUUCCCAGAAUGAGGUGUAAGUAAUACAUCCGAAUUGCUGGAAGAGUGAAACGUCUUGGAGUUAAACACAAGAAAAAGCCUUAUCCCUGCAAUCACACUCUAUCAUUCAGGUUUUCUGGGAUCAUGCCUGCCUUGAGAAAAAUUUUUCUACUGCUUAUACAUGCCAAGUCACAAGAAUUUCACUCAUCUAUAGUUCAUUAACCACUUACUGAGACCAACUUGGCGGGUGGUUUGGGAAAACGGUGCAACUAACAACCUCUUCCCUUCCUUCUUCUUUCCUUCUGCUUGGGGCAGCACCUGCAUGCUCUAUUUUCUUGUUUCCCUGAGAAUUUCACCUCUCAGUUAUUUCACCUUGAUCAGUCUCUCCCUGCCGAUAUAUAUAUCCUCUGUAUUCACUCACUUUCUUCCUUUUUCUCUACCAACUAUGUCCCCAUUACCUUGGAAGAUUUCUCUCUGCAGCCCAGGGCCAAGUUCACCAGUUUGCAAUCUUUGCAGUUGCAUAGGUCUCUUGGCUAGAAGAACAUCCUGCCUGGUUUAAUGCUCUGCACUCACUGUUUUGAACUAAUGGAACCGUGGAGCAUGCAUAUGAGCAGAGGAGAUGGCAAUAUGCAUGUUUAUUGUUCAUUGCCACCCCAUUCACAUGUAACACUUGUGACGUUCCACAAGCACAGGAUUCCAGUGGACACAUAAUGCAUGGAAGUUCUGCAAAACUCAAAGUGAGUACAAGGUAAGUGUUUUAAGUCUGUGACUGAAUAAGUGUGGGCACUGACAGCCCUGAAAGACCACAUGAACCAGAAGUUCUUCUGCAGAAAGAAGAAAACAUCCAAGGAAACUUAUAUUCUUCCUUACUCAUCUUACUUCCUUGUAUUAGGCAGUUAUAUUUAAAAUGAUGACAUCGAAGGAAAGGAAAAGAUAGGGCAACUGUAAUUACUUUACUUUUCAGUCCCUCCUAACUCACCAAUAAGAUGAAGACCAAGUUUUGGUAGACUAUCAAGACCUGGCGCACAUCAAGAUUGGAAUAAAAACAGUUGAGUUAGUUUUGUGCAGUGUUUCUACAAAAUAUUGUACAUGCUCACGUAGGAGCUAUGAAAUUCGAACUGUGUGAUUUUGGUGAUUUCACAUAUGAGUUAAAUGCUCUCAUGCUUGCAUUUAAAACUGAACAAUCUAAAGGGUAAAAUUCAUGCCAAUGAUUUAAGAUUUUAUUUUUCUUUACUUAGAAGGACAUAAAAUGUCCUUCAAAUAUUAUGCUUGAUACACUGAAUUUGUUUCAUGAUUGGAAAUUUUGUUAAUGUUGAUUUAGCCAGUUUUGAAAAAGAAAAGUUUCAAAUUUUGCACCACGAUUCAGACAUUUCCCGCUCAUAUUCUUGUUUCUGUAAUUACUACAAGAAAUAGUAGUAAAGACUAAUUGUCAUUUUUCGUCAUUCAUUUCCUAGAGACCCCAAAGAUUAGAUGUUUUCUAUGAAAUUAUCCUAUGAGAAUUGAAAACAAGUUCUAAAUACUCUUCAUCUCUAAGAAUCUUAUUGGUCUUCAUUCAGUAAGAAGAGUUAGGGAUUUUAUUAAAAAGGAAAAGAAAAAUAGAAAAUGAUAAAAGUGAAGAGAACUCCCUCUAGUCUCUAUGUCAACUGUGGUCCCACUGAAUAACUAUUUUUCUGUGUAUUAAAUGCAUCUUUUCCACUUCAUCUUUUGCAUGCAAAAUCUUCUCAGAUGGGAUUAUCCUAACUUGAGACUGGCAACAGAAGCGAUAAGCAACUAUUUGGAUUUUUGGGUCACAAGCUCAAUACAAACCAGCUUUGCCUGUCUUGAGUUAUAUUCUUGGUACCCUUUAUUACUUUAUUUUUUAUCCCUUUUAUAUUUUAUUAUUAUAUCUCCCUACCAUGUAGGGGAAGUAGUUUAUAAAAGGAUAAGUACAUAUGUAAUUUAAAUGAUGUUUUGGUAAACUCAACAUUAGAUUUAAAAAAUUACAUUAAUAUGAGAAAGCCUUCUUUAAGCAAGAUGAUUUUUCUGACAUGUUUUGCUUAUAGAACACGUGUACUUCUUACAAAAGAACUGUCACAGAUUGUAAGAUAAAAUGCCAUCAUCUCUCUUAUUGAAACGUCAGUGUUUAUUUGCAAUAAUUGUUUCUGAUAAAAUCUUCAUUUAAUUCUCAUGUUUUUAGAGAAUGGUUGUUUAUUUUUAUGAAUACUGUUUUCCUCUCAAAAUGCUAUUGGAUUAAGCUUAUUUCCCAGGUUAAUAACUUUUAUUAAAAAUUGUUUUUUUGGGUUGUUAGUAUUUUACAAAAACGACCUUAGAGCAGAGACUUACUCUGACACUACUAUAGUCAAUGUUCAUACUGAGACACUAUGAGGGAACACUAAAUGAUCAGACAUUGCAUUCUCAGAAGUCUAUAGUAUGGAGAUUAUCCCACUGUCAUACAGCAACGACGACAA